rnacentral:rRNA from 1 species
GCAAGUCGAGCGAGACGGUUAUGAAGGAUUCUUCGGAUGAUUGAUUAACUAGAAAGCGGCGGACGGGUGAGUAACGCGUGGGUAACCUGCCCCAUACACAGGGAUAGCCAUUGGAAACGAUGAUUAAUACCUGAUAACACUAAAUGAUCGCAUGAUUAUUUGGUCAAAGAUUUAUCGGUAUGGGAUGGACCCGCGUUUGAUUAGCUAGUUGGUAAGGUAACGGCUUACCAAGGCGACGAUCAAUAGCCGACCUGAGAGGGUGAUC